CUUGAUCGAGCUUGUCCCCCAUUCACCUGAAUUAACUCUUGGCAUAUUCCCGAAACGAACAAUGUAAACGAACAACACAGCCGUGUCUAUGAAUAUGUCACUUUUGAAAGACAGUCGAUGGGACCGUCUGGGAUUUUUUUUUUUUUUUGUCCUCAAAUGAACCCACUGGCGUCGCAGAGGCCGGAUGGGACACCUACACAUCAUUCUGGAACAAACAGAGGACCAGGGUGGAGCUAGGGCUGGCAUGACUUCGGGAUUUUUUUUUUUUCUCUCCCGGAGCUAAUGGGAGCCUUGACUGAUACAUAGAGGAAUGAGAAAAUAUAUACAGGAUGUUAACAUGGUUGAGGACCGAGGUGGAAGUCUCCCAAUUCCUCAUACCUACACAGACUGUAUUGGGGAGGUACUCUACUUUCUUCAACUGGAGAAAAUGGACUCGAGCUAAGAAUACGACAUUGACUGUCAAGUGCCUGCUGAAGCAGCAGGUGGUGCUGUACCCCCAAUAAUGAGUCUAGUUUAGCCAGGUAGCAGACAUAGCAACUAAAUGAAUGUUUGCUAAUUGAGGAAAAUGGAAAUAACGGAUGGAAAGUGACAGAAGUUACAUCUCAACAUAAUAGUUUAGUAUUUAUAUAUAACUGAACAUUAACGUUUAAAGUCUUCAUUCUAAUCUAGUUUCAUCCAAAAAGUCUAUUUUCAGUCUACUAAAAUGUCAUUUUCAUGCUGACAAAAUUGCUCAUUUCAAACUGCAUUGACCAAAAAAAAAAGUGUUUUAAUAAUGCUUAUUGUUUGGGAGGACCUGACCUUAAUUAAAGAAGGCUAAUGGGUA